rnacentral:rRNA from 1 species
AGCGAACGCUGGCGGCAGGCUUAACACAUGCAAGUCGAACGGUCCUUCGGGAUAGUGGCGGACGGGUGAGUAACACGUGGGAACGUACCCUUAGGUUCGGAACAACACAGGGAAACUUGUGCUAAUACCGGAUAAGCCCAUCGGGGGAAAGAUUUAUCGCCUUUGGAGCGGCCCGCGUCUGAUUAGCUUGUUGGUGAGGUAAUAGCUCACCAAGGCUACGAUCAGUAGCUGGUCUGAGAGGAUGGCCAGCCACACUGGGACUGAGACACGGCCCAGACUCCUACGGGAGGCAGCAGUGGGGAAUCUUGCGCAAUGGGCGAAAGCCUGACGCAGCCAUGCCGCGUGGAUGAUGAAGGUCUUAGGAUUGUAAAAUCCUUUCACCGGGGACGAUAAUGACGGUACCCGGAGAAGAAGCCCCGGCUAACUUCGUGCCAGCCGCCGCGGUAA